UUGCUAUGAUGAUGCUUUCAGUGGUUGAUGGCGUUCAUCGAAUGCUUGAUGAAACUUCGACAACCAUGUCGAUCCUGAGCGGUUACCUGAGCAA